rnacentral:rRNA from 1 species
CCUACGGGUGGCAGCAGUGGGGAAUAUUGGGCAAUGGGCGCAAGCCUGACCCAGCAACGCCGCGUGAAGGAAGAAGGCUUUCGGGUUGUAAACUUCUUUUAUGGGGGACGAGCAGAAGACGGUUCCCCUUGAAUAAGCCACGGCUAACCACGUGCCAGCAGCCCCGGUAAUUCGUAGGUGGCAAGCGUUGUCCGGAUUUACUGGGUGUAAAGGGCGUGCAGGCGGGGAGAUAAGUCAGAUGUGAAAGCCACGGGCUCAACCCGUGAACUGCAUUUGAAACUGUUUCCCUUGAGUGUCGGAGAGGUAAUCGGAAUUCCAUGUGUAGCGGUGAAAUGCGUAGAUAUAAGGAAGAACACCAGUGGCGAAGGCGGAUUACUGGACGAUAACUGACGGUGAGGCGCGAAAGCGUGGGGAGCAAACAGGAUUAGAUACCCGAGUAGUC